rnacentral:rRNA from 1 species
UACAGAGGUCCCAAGCGUUGUUCGGAUUCAUUGGGCGUAAAGGGUGUGUAGGCGGUCAGCACAAGUCAGUUGUGAAAUCUCCGGGCUUAACUCGGAAAGUUCAACUGAUACUGUGCGACUAGAGUGCAGAAGGGGCAACUGGAAUUCUCGGUGUAGCAGUGAAAUGCGUAGAUAUCGAGAGGAACACCUGCGGCGAAGGCGGGUUGCUGGGCUGACACUGACGCUGAUGCGCGAAAGCCAGGGGAGCGAACGGG